UACAGAGGUCUCAAGCGUUGUUCGGAUUCAUUGGGCGUAAAGGGUGCGUAGGCGGCGCGGUAAGUCGGGUGUGAAAUCUUGGAGCUUAACUCCGAAACUGCAUUCGAUACUGCCGUGCUUGAGGACUGGAGAGGAGACUGGAAUUUACGGUGUAGCGGUGAAAUGCGUAGAUAUCGUAAGGAAGACCAGUGGCGAAGGCGGGUCUCUGGACAGUUCCUGACGCUGAGGCACGAAGGCCAGGGGAGCGAAACGGGA
rnacentral:rRNA from 1 species